rnacentral:rRNA from 1 species
AGCAGCCGCGGUAAUUCCAGCUCCAAUAGCGUAUAUUAAAGUUGUUGCAGUUAAAAAGCUCGUAGUUGAAUUUCGGGGUUCUACCGUUGGUCGGGCUUUGUCUGUACUGGCGUGUAGAAUUUCUACCUUCUGGGGAACCAUCAUGUUAUUAAUUUAACGUGGUGGGAAACCAGGACCUUUACCUUGAAAAAAUUAGAGUGUUCAAAGCAGGCUUAUGUCUGAAUACAUUAGCAUGGAAUAAUAAAAUAGGACGGUGGUCCUGUUUUGUUGGUUUCUGAAUCACCGUAAUGAUUAAUAGGGAUAGUUGGGGGCAUUAGUAUUCAAUUGUCAGAGGUGAAAUUCUUGGAUUUAU